AACUUUUUAUUAAUCUUGUUAAGGAAGUAAAUCACGUUAAUUUGGAAAAUAGUAUAACUAGAAUUUUUUGUGUUUCCAUUCUUAUGUCAUGUUACUAAAUAUGUACUCUUGUUAUUUUUCUGUAUAAUGAAAUUAGAGGGGAGGAAGAACUUUAACUUCUUCUCUCCAUUAUUCUUUUCCGCAUAGCGACAUGGUAUCAGAGCAUGGAUAUUCUAGGGUUUAGUACUUACCUCUGCUUCUGAAUUUUUUUUCCUUCUUUUUGACUCUAUAUAUCUAUAUCUUUCAUCUGUCUCUUCUUCCUUCCCUGUUCUGGUCGAAUAUAUGGUUGACAAUUGAGGAGUUUAUGACGUCGCCGGAGCUUGAGAUUGCAAGAGGUGACUGUCGAUUGUUCGUUCGGCAGUGUGUGGUAAAUCGAGUGGUUUUAAGGUGUCUGGCGGUUUUGAGUUGUCGAGUGGUGUUUAAGUUGCUCAUUUGGUUGACUGUGAGCAGUGGUGGUUGAGCUGCGUGUUUAUUUGACUGUUAGCAGAGGCGCGAAAAUUGGAACGUUGAAGAUUUCUGGGGUCAACGAACGUUGAAUUAUUGGCGGUGAGUAAUUGAUUUUUUUGUUGGUUAGGUCUGCUGAAAUAAUUGGACAGUGAGGCAGUGAGUGAUUUGUAGACUGUGAGCAAUUGGGCCAGUGUUAUGCUUUUAAUUUUGUGGGUCAAUUUGGUUGGGCCUUUAAUUUAUUCCAGUGGAUUUGGUUUGAGCCUUUAAUUUAUUCCGUUUCAUCAUGUCAUCCAGGAUGGAGAUAUUCAAUCUGACCGGACCUAUGGCGCUUGAAAAAUUGAAUGAAAGUAAUUACACUUAUUGGGCUAGGUGUGUCGAAGUCUUUUUACUAGGUAAAAGUUUAUUUAAUCACUUGACCUUAGACAAGCCAUCGUCUAAGACAUCAGAAAGUGAUUCUACUCUUAAUGAUUGGUGGGAUCAAGAGGAUAACGCUAUAAUUGGGCUUAUGAUCGGUAGCAUUAAACCUCAUAUAGGGUCUUCAUCCCUCUAUAUGACUACGGCGAAACAAAUUUGGGAGCAUCUCAAAAACAUACAUUCUGGAGCUAAAAAUGUUACCCGAAUUUAUGAGACAUGUAAGCAAUACUUUGGGCUUGAGAAGGGCUCUUCCAGCCUCGUUAAAUGUUAUAAUAAGUUUUGAGCUGUGUCAGUAAAGAAAUAUACAUCAACCUCUCUUUCUUGAUUUGAAAGUUAUGGAAAAAUAGCGUGAAGACAUCGAUGUUGUUAAAUUCUUUAUUGGUCUUUCGCUUGAGUUUGAAGAAGUCCGAGCACAGAUAUUAGGUGAAAAGGAGCUUCCCAAUCUUGCAGAGACAUUCUCUCGUAUUCAGCGUUCUACCUGCUACCUUAUCAGAUAGUACACCCAACGGAGGUCGUUCUGCUUUUAUUGCUCGGGGUGGCUCAUUUAGGGAUGAAUGUAAUAUUCGAAGUGGAUGUGGUUUUAGCCCUCGAGGUGGACGAUACACUAGAGGCAAUGCUCGUUCGGGAAAUCGUGACCCUCGAAAAUGUACUCACUGUGGUCGUAUUGGUCAUUCCGUUGAUUAUUGUUGGGAUGUACAUGGCAAACCAUCUGGCUUUGCCAAUCAGGUCUCAUCCAAUGAGGCCCAUAACUCUGUAUCUGGACCAGUGGCUAACUCUAGUUCAACAUCCGAAUCAGAUCUCUUAUCUGUCUUAUGGGACGAGUAUGCUGAGUUCUUAGCUCAUAAACAUGCUACUUCCAAUUUUAUGGCCACUCUCGCUCAGUCAGGAUCUCAAGACGAAGAUGAUGAUUGCAUGAAGUUGGUGGCUUGUAUUACCUAGAUCUUUCUCCAGUCUCUUAUCAUCGAGCUCUCCAGCCCUCUGUUUCACCUAUGCAAUGCCAUUGUCGUCUUGGUCACCUUUCUCUUUCCAGUGUAAAAUGUCAAGUUGUGAGUCUUUGUAACGUGCGCUUUCUUGAGUGUGAAGCUUGUCAGCUUAGCAAACAUCACCGUGUGUCUUUUCCUUUAAGAACUGUUAGUCGAGUUUCUAGUUUAUUUGAGAUAGUCCAUUCUGAUGUAUGUGGACCGAUAAAUAUUUUCUCUAAUAAAUUUCAAUAUUUUAUCA